rnacentral:snRNA from 1 species
ACAUGUAAACAUCUGAUCGUUUGA